GACGAACGCUGGCGGCGUGCCUAAUACAUGCAAGUAGGACGCAGUUGCGAACGGGUGAGUAACGCGUAGGUAACUGCCUAUUAGCGGGGGCUAACUAUUGGAAACGAUAGCUAAUACCGCAUACUAGUAGAUUGACCUGCGUUGUAUUAGCUAGUAGGUAGGGUAAUGGCCUACCUAGGCGACGAUACAUAGCCGACCUGAGAGGGUGAUCGGCCACACGGGGACUGGUACACGGCCCAGACUCCUACGGGAGGCAGCAGUAGGGAAUCUUCGGCAAUGGGGGGAACCCUGACCGAGCAACGCCGCGCGAGUGAAGAAGGGUUUCGGAUCGUAAAGCUCUGUUGGUAAGGAAGCGGUACUUAACGAGAAAGGGACGGCUAACUACGUGCCAGCCGCCGCGGUAAUUG
rnacentral:rRNA from 1 species